rnacentral:rRNA from 1 species
CCUACGGGAGGCAGCAGUGGGGAAUAUUGGGCAAUGGACGAAAGUCUGACCCAGCAACGCCGCGUGAAGGAAGAAGGCUUUCGGGUUGUAAACUUUUUUUACGGGGGAAGGGCAGAAGACGGUACCCCUUGAAGAAGCCACGGCUAACUACGUGCGAGCCGCCGCGGUAAUACGUCGGUGGCGAGCGUUGUCCGGAUUUACUGGGUGGAAAGGGCGUGUAGCCGGGAAGACAAGUCAGAUGUGAAAUCCCGCGGCUCAACCGCAGAACUGCAUUUGAAACUGGUUUUCUUGAGUAUCGGAGAGGUAGGCGGAAUUCCUAGUGUCGCGGUGAAAUGCGUAGAUAUUAGGAAGAACACCAGUGGCGAAGGCGGAUUACUGGACGACAACUGACGGUGAGGCGCGAAAGCGUGGGGAGCAAACAGGAUUAGAUACCCUUGUAGUC